rnacentral:rRNA from 1 species
UACGGGGGGAGCAAGCGUUGUUCGGAUUUACUGGGCGUGAAGGGCGCGUAGGCGGUCAGCACAAGUCAGUUGUGAAAUCUCCGGGCUUAACUCGGAAAGGUCAACUGAUACUGUGCGACUAGAGUGCGGAAGGGGCAACUGGAAUUCUCGGUGUAGCGGUGAAAUGCGUAGAUAUCGAGAGGAACACCUGCGGCGAAGGCGGGUUGCUGGGCCGACACUGACGCUGAUGCGCGAAAGCCAGGGGAGCGAACGGG